GACUAUGGCCAUGCCACCCUGAAUGUGCCCGAUCUUGUCUGAUCUCAGAAGCUAGGCAGGGUCGGGCCUGGUUAGUACUUGAAGACCACCUAGGAAUACCAGGUGCUGUAGGCA
rnacentral:rRNA from 1 species